rnacentral:rRNA from 1 species
AUAGGUGGUUAUAGCGAGGGUGUUCCACCUCUUCCCAUUCCGAACAGAGAAGUUAAGCCCCUCAGCGCCGAUGGUACUGCGUAAGUGGGAGAGUAGGUCGCCGCCUUUU